GACGAACGCUGGCGGCGUGCUUAACACAUGCAAGUCGAACGGAAAGGCCCUGCUUUUGUGGGUUGCUCGUGUGGCGAACGGGUGAGUAACACGUGAGUAACCUCCCCUUGACUUUGGGAUAACUUCAGGAAACUGGGGCUCAUACCGGAUAUGAGCUCCUGCUGCAUGGUGGGGGUUGGAAAGAUUCGGCGGUUGUGGAUGGACUCGCGGCUUAUCAGCUUGUUGGUGGGGUAGUGGCUUACCAAGGCUUUGACGGGUAGCCGGCCUGAGAGGGUGACCGGCCACAUUGGGACUGAGGUACGGCCCAGACUCCUACGGGAGGCAGCAGUGGGGAAUAUUGCACAAUGGGCGGAAGCCUGAUGCAGCAACGCCGCGUGCGGGAUGACGGCCUUCGGGUUGUAAACCGCUUUCGCCUGUGACGAAGCGUGAGUGACGGUAAUGGGUAAAGAAGCACCGGCUAACUACGUG
rnacentral:rRNA from 1 species